rnacentral:rRNA from 1 species
UGGGUAGUCCGCACGAGCGCACCUUACUUUUAGUUGCCACCAUUUAGUUGAGCACUCUGAAAGAACUGCCAGUGAUAAGCUGGAGGAAGGUGGGGAUUACGUCAAGUCCUCAUGGCCCUUACGUGUUGGGCUACACACGUGCUACAAUGGCACUCACAGUAGGAAGCAAAGAUGUGAGUCUAAGCAAAUCCUAAAAAAGUGCCUCAGUUCGGAUUGUACUCUGCAACUCGAGUACAUGAAGCUGGAAUUGCUAGUAAUCGCGGAUCAGCGCGCCGCGGUGAAUACGUUCCCGGGUCUUGUACACACCGCCCGUCACACCAUGGAAGUUGGUUCUACCUUAAGGCAAAGCAUAAAACCUUUGACCACGGUAUAGUCAGCGACUGGGGUGAAGUCGUAACAAGGUAGCCGUAGGGGAACCUGCGGCUGGAUUACCUCCUUUCU